GCCAAUUCUUCCUAAACCUUUGGUUGGAGUGGUCAGUCAAGAAAAAGUUGAGAAUUCUCAAGCAUUUAGUCUUGAUAAAAGCAACUUCCACUUUAUUCAUGGGGCUGUAACCAUACUAAUGGAUACCACAAUUUUGUUCUUUGGUGUGCUGCCAUGGUUUUGGAAGAGAUCUGGAGACUUUCUGGUGCACAUGGGCCUUAAUUCAGAGAAUGAAAUACUUCACACCCUUGCAUUCUUAGGAGGUGUUAUGAUUUGGUCACAGGUGUGAUAUAAAAUCUUCCAAUGGUUCUCAAAUAUUUAAAUUGCACUUCAUU